rnacentral:lncRNA from 1 species
GCUGACCGCGCUCCCGCAGGCGCUGCUGGUGCCCGGGAAGAGCCCGUCCCGGCGGCGGCCCGGCCCGCUCGGCUCCCGCCGCUCCAGCGCCAUCGGCAUCGAGAGCAUCCAGGAGGCGCCGCCCGGCAGGGCGGAGAGGCCGGAGCCUCCGCGGGACUUCUCCCGCUCGUCCUCCAGCGCCAGCAGCUUCGGCAGCGUGGCCGAGGAGCCGGACGAGCACCCCGAGGCCGAG